rnacentral:lncRNA from 1 species
AUCAGCGCAAUAUGCGGCAAGUCCAGGCGGCUCAAGAGGCCAGGUUCCACGCCGUUCUGGAGGAGAUGGUGAUGGCCUUCAAGGAACCUCCUGAGCACCCAGAGCCUCCCGAGGCUCAGGGUCCCGGUGGCUCAUGAGGAGUCAUUCCUUCGAGGCGUGGCUUCAGGUGCACCAGCUUUACUUCAUCUACAGACCCAGGUGACAUCUAUGAAGUUCAUUUAAGCUGGGAGCACCCCUCGGGCUGCACUAUUCCCAGGCCACGUUGGUCCGUCCCUGUGGCAUGUAUCCCUUUUGCUUAUGUUCCUAAGUCUACCUCGCUGGGGGCGCCCCACGGGCUGCAUCAUCCCCAUGCCGCUCGGGCCAGACCCAGUGGCAUGUACCUUCUUGCAUUUAUCUCAGGCAAUCUGCUCUUCAUGAUUAACCUGCCAACUACUAUCACCUGCUUGAUCAUCACCCCCCUCGGGGCCCCUACACAGGCACGGCGCUGGUGCAUGGGUCCAUCCCUGCCACGACCGACAAAUCUGAGUGGUCGAGCUCUGACUCGCGGCACGCGCCGUGCAUGUCACCUCAUCAGGCCCUCAGUCCUUUCACUUCAUACGGACCAACCAGCGGCAGGCAGGCGGCAGUAACGACAAACCAUGUUUCUCCUUAUGCCUGUUCACAUGAACCCCGUGGAAAGGAUAGCAGGCAGCACCACGAGUCUCCUUUCCUCUCGCGUGACUCGCUUGCGUGUUAAAAGGGGGGCUCCUGAGCAUCGCGACUCAGGAGCUCUUACUGGCUCUCCAGCCCUCACCCCCUGGCCUUGACCACGGCAUCGCGACAUGGCAUACCAGCGGCGGCUGAGCUCGCUCGAGGGCUAGGACCUGAGGACAUAGAGCAUUAAGAGGGGCUCGGGAGAAGGAAAACUCGCACGGGCCGGCCUAGCUAUGUCACGUAAGUUGGCGCGCAGCCCUAGCACAACAUCGGGAAUCAUCCCCAAGUCAUCAAGAUAAGUUUCGCCCUCAGAUCAUCAAAACAUUUGGGCCUAAUAGUCACUCACCCCAUGCCGCAACCCCGUUGCGGCCAAGUCACCUUCCUUUAUUUCCUUCCAUGGCCGCUUGGGCGCUAAGGGGGACCUCCUGAGCAUCGCGCCUCAGGGGCUCUUACUGGACCUCGGGCCGCGCACCUCCUGGCCUUGACCACGGCAUCGUGACCUGGCAUACCAGUGAUGGCUAUAGCUGCCUUGGGACCGAGACCCGUCAGCGUAGAGCAACAAGCUAUCGCGAGGAAAGAAAGGGGAGGCCGAGCCUUAACGGGAUGUGCGUUCGUCAAAUCUUCAUAACAAGGAAAAAAGGUACCAAGGCAUUGCAUAUCCUUACAUGCCCCCACGGGGUGAUUCAUGAUCCUACGGAGGAAACAAAAGCUGAUGCUAAGGGGGAUCCUAUCUACAUCCUCCCGUGGCGAACGCCAUCAUCAACAGUGGGCCACGGGAGGCCGGCGCCAGCCCCAUCCAAGAUCAGCGGGGGCGGCGGCCGGACGCCGCAGCCUUGCUCCGUGCACGGCGAGAACUCGGGGGGACAUAGCUGUCGUCGCUCAUCUUCGGAGUCUCGUAGAGCUCAGGAGAACUGCUAGACUCCCAAGGGCUGCUGCUGCAGGAGUAGUCGCGGGCAAAGCGCGCAUCAGCCUCGCGCUCUUCUCCAGAGCAGCACUCCAGCCGGCGGCCCUCGGCGUCGAAGACCUUGAAGAGAAGCAUGGAGGCACCGUCGUACUCGAAGUGGAUCGUGAGGGCACCCCUCGCGCGACAGAACCGUGCAAUCUCGCCCCAACCGCGAAUCAUGAAGAUUUUGCCAACGGGGACCACUUCGAUCUUCGCUCUGAUCGCUGGAGCGCCACAAUCGGCAUGUUGCAGCCAGAACUCGAGAGGCCCCCUCAGUGGCAUCACAUCAGAGAAGAACCGUGGGAAGCGGAUCCAGGAGUUCGAAGGCAUCGGCGUCCACCGCACUGGCUCGCGCGAGGAGUUCGCCGCACGGACGGCCCGCGUCGCCGAGGCGCGGCGACCCCGGGUGCGGUGUGGGUGACGCUGCUCGCCACUUCGUCCUCCUGAGCCUACGGCUUGGGCGUACAAGGGUAGUGGGUACCCCGGGGGAGCCUCUCGCACAAAGGCCUUGCCACCACCUCCAACGCCGCCUCGUCAUGGCGAUGGAUCGACCUCUUCUUUGGUGGGAGUUGCUCCGGGGCAUCCCGGGGGGCUUUCCCUUCUCCUCGGCGGAGAAUCUUCUGAUGGGCGCCAUUGGAGCAAGCAGUGGAGUGAGAAGGAGGAAGCAAGCAAGGAAGAGAUGGGCAACGGGGGCACUUGCAUGUCGCAUGGACUUGUCAAGUCGUGUAGUCGCCGAAGCAGCAUGGGGAAGCGAAGACGCCCACGUCCAAUCAACCGCCACGCGUCAACCGAGGCCGCAGGCUUUUGGGGCCCGCGGUGCUUCGAGCUUGACCCUUGGCUUCGCCGCAAAGCCAAGCCUGCAUGCACCUUGGGCCCGGGGGCUACUGUCGGUGUUCUAGGAGCGGGGGUUCCCAGACUUGCCUGCCUGCGGCCCGCUGCGAGGCUGAGCCAGUAGGCCGUACGGCCCAUCUUCACCAACAAAGCACCCAAGACCCUCGCGAGGGGCCAAGCCUCGCGAGGCGGACGACACAAGACCUCCUCUGGAGUGGCCUAGCUAGGCAGGCUCACGAGGAGCGGAGAUAUCAAGGCGAGGCGAACCUCACGAGGCUCUCGUGAUAUGAGCCGUGACGAUCGAUGCCAGGCGGGCGUCAGCGCGCACAACGUCCUUGUUUCCUCUUUGGUGCAAAGGGGGCAAGUGCAGCCCCGAAGUACCGAGGCCUUAGGCAAAGGUUGCCAUUUUGGUGCAACAAGACCAAGACCAUGGACUGCAAGACAGAGGUCAUCAUGGAGCCCAGAACAGCGCCACCACCAGAACUUUGUGCAGGCGAAGACUACUUUUGUCAGGAUAGCUUGUACUAGCUGUCCCCCUUCAAAUUAGCCCACCAUUGUUGGAUCCCUUCCCGCUCGAUAUUUGGGAAGAGGACCAGGGCCUCUAUAAAUAGGACUAGCCACCAUAGUGGAAAAAGGGAGAAAGAGGAGAGAGGGGACGAUCUCAUCUUUGCUUGAAAGAGACCACCGCCAUACACACAAGCUCACCAAGCUCAAGAGCGCCCCAACCUCAGGAGGCCAUUAUUCCUAUGUAUUGUUCAUCAUCAUCCCAAGAGGCAAUCCACCACCACACUGGAGUAGGGUAUUACACCACAACGGUGUCCCAAACCAGUAUAAACCCUGUGUCCAUCUGUGUUGUGAGUUCGUUGAGUUCGUCCGCGAGAUCCUCGCAAGCUAGAGCGUAGAUCGGUUGAAGGGAAAGACUUCGCGCACACCCAAGUGUUCGAACCUUAAGGGUUUGCCAGGACCCCAUACCCUGACAACAAGUACCCCGAGAACGUCUGUACCUCUACCGUCGUCGUGGAUCCAACAAAACCAAGUGUACAACUACCGGUGCCCCGAAGGCAUUGGAUUCGUCAAGUACCUCUCUGAAAAUGAAUGUGUACCACUACUUCCACUUCCGUCACAAAGGACCGAUAGUACCACUACUUCCCAUGAUGGCCCGUGAACGAUUACACCACUUGAUCCAAACCACCCCGGAUGCAUGCUUCGACGGAAUAACCCAGAGACGCCCGUGAACAAAUGCUUGUGUGAUGCAUGAGAUGCACCGCUUGUUUCACCCUGCCCGAGUUGUCAUUGCACAGUCCUCCUCAUUUGCCACGCGUCAAACUUUGGGAACCUAGUAAGCGGGAUCACCCGACCAUAUUUUUCAUGUUUCGUAGAUCCACACUUUUGUUUGCACCGACAUCUUGAUGAGUUGUCGGAUCAUCGGAAUGUUGCCGUGGCACCAUCUCCGUUGUCGUUGCCGUGGCUUCCCUUUCGUUCCGCCAUGGUGACCAAAUGCUGCAUAACAUGCUCAUGUUAACUUUUUCAUAAACAUUGCAUAAAACUUGUAUAUGUCAUUCGCAUCAUGAUAACAACAUUUAAAUGUUUAAAAUUGUUGUUUGCAUCAAAUUGCUAAUUGACAUGUGGGGAUUUACCGGAAUUGUUAUUUGUUAUUUCCGGCCACAUUUAAACUUGCCUAAAUAGUUAGUAUAUUUAUGCCUCACCUCUUGCCAUGUUAAACAACAUUCAAUAUUGUUGAGUACCUAAAUGGGAGUGAACUAAAUAAUCGAAUGUGGUGUUUCAUCAACAUGCAUCUUGUUACAUGUUGAGCUCCACUUAACUUGUAGUUUUGUUUGUGCACUUUGCCAUUGCCAUGCAUAUCUAAACCGGACAUGCAUCAUCCUUGGUUGUGCAUCAUGCCAUGGCUAUGCUUGUGCCUUUACCAUGUUGCUUGCUUCUUUCCAGUUUGCUUCUCUCAUUAGCUUCGGUUUCAUUCCGGAGUUGUGGGGAUUCGUUCAACUACGUCUGUUUUGUCUUCUUCAUGGACUCAUUCUUAUUCCUUGCGGGAUUUCAGGCAAGAUGACCAUACCCUCGAUAUCACUUCUAUCUUUGAUUGCUAGUUGUUCGCUCUAUCGCUAUGUCAUGCUACCUACCACUUGUUAUAUCAUGCCUACCAUGUUGCCAUGUCAAGCCUCUAACCCACAUUCCUAGCAAAGUGUUGUGUGGCUAUGUUAUCUCUUUUGCUCAUCCCCUCUUAUAGCGUUGUUAGUUGCAGGUGAAGUUGAAGAUUGUUCCAUGUUGGAACAUGGAUAUGUUGGGAUAUCAUAUUAUCUCUUAUUUAAUUAAUGCAUCUAUACACUUGGUAAAGGGUGGAAGGCUCGGCCUUAUGCCUGGUAUUUUGUUCCACUCUUGCCGCCCUAGUUUCCGUCAUACCGGUGUGAUGUUCCUUGAUUUUGCAUCCCUAACACGAUGAGGGGUAUGGGACCCUCUUGACAGUUCGCUUUGAAUAAAACUCCUCCAGCAAGGCCCAACCUUGGUUUUACAUUUGCCUAACAACCUAUAACUUUCCCUUGCGGUUGCAAACCCGAGGGUCAUCUUUAUUUUAACCCCCCGAGCCAGUGCUCCUCUAGGUGUUGGUCCGAAAUGGGCAACCUGCGAGGCCACCUCGGGGAAACUUGAGGUCUGGUUUUACUCAUAGCUUGUCCUAUCUAGUGUGCCCUGGGAACAAGAUAUGCACAGCUCCUAUCGGGAUUUGUUGGCACAGUCGGCGGUCUUGUAGGUUUAGUUCUACCAUUGUCGAAAUGUCUUGUGCAUCGGGAUUCCGAGUCUGAUCGGGUGUCCCGCAAUGGAGGAUUGUCUCCGUGGACCGUGAGCUUGUGAUGGGCUCAGUUGGGACACCCCUGCAGGGUAUGAACUUUCGAGAGCCGUGCCCGCGGUUAUGUGGCAGAUGGGGAUUUGUUAAUAUCCAGUUGUAGAGAACUUGACACUUGACUUAAUUAAAAAGGUUCAACCACGUGUGUAGCCGUGAUGGUCUCUUUUCGGUGGAGUCCGGUAAGUGAACACGGUUUUGGUUUAUGUUUGUUCGUAAGUAGUUUCAGCAUCACUUCUUGAUCAAUUAUAGCUUCACGGACGUUGCGUAGCUUCUCACCUUACUCUUAUUUGCGUAUGUUAGCCACCAUAUUUUCUUAGCGCUUGCUGAAGCUCCACCUCAUUACCUUAUCCUACUCAUAAGCUUAAAUAGUCUUGAUCUCGCGGGUGUGAGAUUGCUGAGUCCUCGUGACUCACGAAUACUUCCAAACAGUUGCAGGUGCCGAUGAUACCAGUGCAAGUGAUGCUACCGAACUCAAGUGGGAGUUUGAUGAGGACCUUGGUCGAUAAUAUGUUUCAUUUCCUGAUGAUCAGUAGUGGAGCCCAGUUGGGACGAUCGGGGAUCUAGCAUUUGGGGUUGUCUUCUUUUAUUUUGGUUCCGUAGUCGGGCCUUGAUUGUACUCUGGAUGAUGUAUGUUUAACUUGUUAUUUGUGUGUAUUGGCGAUUGUAAGCCAACUCUUUGUCCCUUUCUUAUUCGGUACAUGGGGUUGUGUGAAGAUUACCCCUCUUCCGACAAAACCACCAUGUGGUUGUGCCUCUAAGUCGUGCCUAGACACGUGGGAGACAUAGCCGCAUCAUGGGCAUUACAAGUUGGUAAUCGGAGACAUCCCCAACUUAGGAGCCCCUGCUUGAUCGAAUCGCUGAUGUUGUUGAGUCUAGAACAAAAAUGUUUUGAGUCUUAAGAUUAUAUAUAUCGGAGAGUAGGAUUCUUUUUACUCCUCAUUCCCUUCGUCGCUCUGGUGAGGCC